CCAGGGUCCCCAGGUGGAAAGGGAGAGCUAGGCUUGCCUGGACCGUCUGGACUGGAUGGGGAGAAGGGUCCGAAGGGAGAUAUGGGGGAGACAGGGUCAAUCGGAGAGAAAGGAGAGAAAGGAGAGAUGGGUCUCUCUGGGCCAGGGGUAAGUAGAGAGAGACUAGUCAUACACUGAUGGGUCUCUAAGUCAGUGGUUAGUAGAGAGAGACUAG